UUAAUAGAGGCCACCUUGGACAGGCAAGGUCAAUGAUGGAACCGUACUUGCAUGAGAGUGGGGCUGGUGGUGCCGGGAGUGCAUAAUCAGAAGAAUCUGGAGGUGGUUCGUAAGCUGGGAAAGCACUGAGAAAAGAAGAACAAGAAAAUACCAAGGUUCUCCUCAUUAAUGCAAUCUCGCUUGCACAUGCCAGUUGCGACAAUUGGAAAACAAGAUGGUUGACAACCAUAAAGACAUGAGCAAUGUUACAAUUCGGAAUCGUGGCUGCUGGAGAAAGAGAUGUGAUCAUAAGACAUUCUCAUCAUGACUCAGACUUUAUAAUAUAACUGUUCCUAUUUUGAUUUUUGUUUGUAAAUGUAGGCAUGCCCAAGACUGAAGCCCUCUAAAAACUAUAUAGCUAUUUUUUGGUUUACCAUUUUUACUUUGGGCACCCAUUGCAUACUUCCGAUAUAUUUGGAUUGUGACCCCCUUUUUGUUAGGUGCUUUUAGAUUAAUUUACCACUGACUAUAAAAAAUGCAUUGGUAUAUGAAAUUUUCGUUGAGCUAAAGAGGUUACUCCAUGACCUUUUUGCAGGUGCGUAGUUCUAAGAGAGCCAUGAAAUAUGAGAAACUAUUGGUUAGGUUGAAGAAAUUGAUUUCUAUUCUGCCUACUAUUUGGCCAAGCUAAUUCUGCUAUAUGAGAGUAUCUCUUGGAUUCUUUGAAGAUGUCUACAGACUGGUCCAUCUUAUGCCAAAUCCAUCCCACUGUGAGCCUAUUAUAUGCUUCUCUUGACAGUUCUAAAAUCGUCUUAUACAACUCUAAUGUUAAUGGAUUUGCUUUAGUCCUAGAAGUAGUAGUUGGUUAACUAGUGAAACUUGCACAUGCUAUGCUUAAAAACAUCUUUUUGAAGUUUUGUUUGAUAUUCCAUCACUUGUGGCUCAGUUUUGAUGUCUCAUCCUCACUUCAAAGGCAAACAGUGAUUGCAACCUUGUAUGCUAGGACUAAAAUUUUGUUUCAUUUCAUUUAGCUUGUCCCCAAUAAUAAACUCGGUCGAGCAGAACAUAGAAAGCCAGUUGAAGGCAAGGCACCCAGAAUUGGUUGAAUGGUUUAGAAUGGUGGAACUGCCACGUAUAGCGGGAUUUUUCAUUCCAUUGUUGAAGAAGCGGUCUAUGGAAUAUGCUGGAAGUGGUGUUGCAGGGAGUAUUCUGGCUAUAAGCUGCUGUGGUGGUAGCCUUUUCAUUUACCCCAAGUUUUCUUCACGCUCUGUGUAUCAACGUUUCAUGGAGGAAAUAGCAGGAGAUGAUCUUCAAAUAGAAGCAUUGCCAGUUGGAUCUAUUGCUUCCGACUCUGCCGUAACUGCACUGUUAUACUGGCAAGGAAAGCUUUUUGUUGGCUGUGUUGAUAGAAUUAUCAAGGUGUAUUCUGGGCAGUGAUGGAAGCAUCACUUAAGAAGAUGUCAACCAAACUCAAUACGUUGGCGAAGCUGCCAAGGGUGAUGGGUCCAUUGCUGAGAUGAAAACGGGGGAAGGAAAAACCUUGGUUUCCACAUUAGCAGCCUCUCUCAAUGCCCUCACUGGUGAGGGUGUUCAUGGAUGAUAUGCCAAAGCCUGGUCAAGCCCCUCGUCCUGCUGGAGGAACUCCUGUUCGCACCUGAUAAAAAGAAGUUGAUUUCCUCUGUCAUUCUGCUUUCAAACAGUUACCUGAAAUUUUCAGAACUUUUGAGGCCAUUUGUUUUUGUUUUUCUUGGUUUGGGAGAUUUUGAUUAUGAUGGAAGGUUUAACUUUUGCUGUUUAAUGCUUGAGUAUUAAUGUAGUAUCAGGAAAAUGAAAAUUGAGACACGAGAAUGAAUUUCAUUUUUUUUAA